rnacentral:lncRNA from 1 species
UACGUUAUACAAUGAGUUAUACUCUCCCAUGUACCAGAUCACUCAAUUGGUACAGUGCACCACAUUGGAUAACAAGCUACGUGUCUUAGAAUCUGAGAACAAAUGCACUUCACUACAUUGUAUAAUGAGCUCUAUCACUGCUAUGGGGGGCUGUUCACAUCUUCCUACUACCAUACUUGUAUAGGUACACACUUAAUACUUAACACUUCUCCAUACCCCC